rnacentral:rRNA from 1 species
CGUGGGUAACCUGCCCAAGAGAUCGGGAUAACACCUGGAAACAGAUGCUAAUACCGGAUAACAACAGAUGAUGCCUAUCAACUGUUUAAAAGAUGGUUCUGCUAUCACUCUUGGAUGGACCUGCGGUGCAUUAGCUAGUUGGUAGGGUAACGGCCUACCAAGGCGAUGAUGCAUAGCCGAGUUGAGAGACUGAUCGGCCACAUUGGGACUGAGACACGGCCCAAACUCCUACGGGAGGCAGCA